rnacentral:rRNA from 1 species
AGUGAACGCUGGCGGUAUGCCUAACACAUGCCAGUCGAACGGCAGCACAGGAAGUGCUUGCUCUUGGGGGGGGGGGGUGGGGGGCGGGAGAGAAAUGCAUCUGACUCUACUUUUUGGUGGGGGCGGACGAAGGGAGACUUACACUACUACCGCAUACGGCCUACGAGUGAGGGCACGGCAGCUUCGGCCCUUGAGCGAUUGACGGUGGCGAUGUCGGAUUAGCUAGUUGGCGGGGUAAAGGCCUACCAAGGCGACGAUCCGUAGCUGGUCUGAGAGGACGACCAGCCACACUGGAACUGAGACACGGCCCAGACUCCUACGGGAGGCAGCAGUGGGGAAUUUUGGACAAUGGGCGAAAGCCUGAUCCAGCAAUGCCGCGUGUGUGAAGAAGGCCUUCGGGUUGUAAAGCACUUUUGUCCGGAAAGAAAAGCUUGGGCCUAAUACGGUCGGGGGAUGACGGUACCGGAAGAAUAAGCACCGGCUAACUACGUG